UACGGGGGGGGCAAGCGUUGUUCGGAAUUACUGGGCGUAAAGGGCUCGUAGGUGGCCAACUAAGUCAGACGUGAAAUCCCUCGGCUUAACCGGGGAACUGCGUCUGAUACUGGAUGGCUUGAGGUUGGGAGAGGGAUGCGGAAUUCCAGGUGUAGCGGUGAAAUGCGUAGAUAUCUGGAGGAGCACCGGUGGCGAAGGCGGCAUCCUGGACCAAUUCUGACACUGAGGAGCGAAAGCCAGGGGAGCAAACGGG
rnacentral:rRNA from 1 species